rnacentral:rRNA from 1 species
UACAGAGGUGGCAAGCGUUGUUCGGAAUUACUGGGCGUAAAGGGCGCGUAGGCGGUCUUGUAAGUCUUGUGUGAAAUCCCUCGGCUUAACUGAGGAACUGCACGGGAUACUGCGAGACUUGAGUUCGGGAGAGGGAAGCGGAAUUCCGGGUGUAGCGGUGAAAUGCGUAGAUAUCCGGAGGAACACCGGUGGCGAAGGCGGCAUCCUGGACCGGCAUUGACGCUGAGGCGCGGAAAGCUAGGGGAGCAAACGGGG